rnacentral:rRNA from 1 species
GCACCCGCACAAGCGGUGGAGCAUGCUGUUUAAUUCGAAGAUACGCGAAGAACCUUACCUGGGCUUGACAUCCCACUGACCGUCUUAGAGAUAAGAUUUUCCCUUCGGGGACAGUGGUGACAGGUGGUGCAUGGUUGUCGUCAGCUCGUGUCGUGAGAUGUUCGGUUAAGUCCGAUAACGAGCGCAACCCCUAUCAUUAAUUGCUAACAUUCAGUUGAGAACCUUAAUGAUACUGCCGGUGACAAACCGGAGGAAGGUGGGGAUGACGUCAAAUCAUCAUGCCCCUUACGUCCAGGGCUACAGGCGUGCUACAAUGGCUGGUAUAAUAAGAUGCAAUACCGUGAGGUGGAGCAAAUCUCCAAAGCCAGUCCCAGUCCGGAUUGGAGUCUGCAACUCGACUCCAUGAAGUUGGAAUCGCUAGUAAUCCCGAAUCAGAAUGUCGGGGUGAAUACGUUCCCGGGUGUU